rnacentral:lncRNA from 1 species
CAGUUUAAAGGAUCUUUUAAUAAGCAAACAUAAUUAUCUUGUGAUCAAUCAUUAAACUGGAAGAAAGGAAAGAUACUUUUCAAUUCGAUAAGCAAAAUC